CAAUCUGUUUCAUGUUUUCAGUUUGAAUACCAACAGGCUCAGCUGGAAGCGGAAAUAGAAAACCUCUCAUGGAAGGUGGAGAGAGCAGAUAGUUAUGACAGAGGGGACUUGGAAAAUCAGAUGCACAUAGCCGAGCAGAGGAGAAGGACCCUGCUGAAAGACUUCCACGACACAUAAAGUAGCAGGAGAUGUCAGGGCGCAGGGGUGAGCGCAAAGAGCGAGGUGGCGGUGAGAGCAGCAGCAGAAGCAACACGAGAAGCUGGCCCCCGCCCCCACCACAGAGAAGGGCUGAGGACAACACUGCUGCCUCCCCUUGCAAGCCAGACACGAGCUAGCACCACAGCUUAGUCUUCUGUUUUCUCUUCUCUUUCUGCUUUUCCUUUUUGCCAGGCUAGAGGCUGGAGUUCAGAUUUGGCACCUUUUUUUUCUGGGACGUUUUCCUCCCCGGCUCUUGGAUUGUUCUGGGAAGGAGUUCUUUUAUUUUAUUUUUUCUUCUUCUUCUUCCUCCUCCCCCCGAAUGGCUGUUAAUAGUGUUAGAUCAUUACAAGCAUAUGUAAUUUUCAAACGGUUGUACAAUUAUACAAAACAAACCCUAGAAUAACACACAACCCUUUUUAAAAAAUAAAUUGGAAUUGGAGUGUUUCCUUUUUAAUAAGCUGCUUGUAAACUAAAUGGCUGCUUUUCUUCUUUUCCCUCCAAAUCCUCUUUUGCGCUGAAAGUUAUGAAAUAGUCCAGCUCUCUGUUUGGCACCUCUUAUGUGCGCCCUGCUGCUUGCCCUGUGACUACAUGAGGUGAACCAUGCUAGCCUAGGAGACAACAGCAGUGGCCAGAGGUCAGCGUACGGUCGAGUAGCUCUCCUAUUCUUCCCUGGCUAUGCAGGGGCAGUCGGGCAAAGUUCAGGCCAGCAUGGGAAACAGUCGUGGUCCUGCUGUCCCAUCAGCUUUAGGUUGUCUCCUGCGUGGAUUCGUUGCUUUGUUUCUCUGGACUGAUCUCAUCUGCCAAAACUAAAAUCAUUUGAGGGGCUAUGGGAACACACAACCUUGCCUCUCGAUAGCAUUGUAGCAGGCACUGGCUUUGCUUGGAGGCAAAAGGACAAGCCACGUUCCAUCCAUGCCUUGCGUAUCUGUGCAGUCCAGUCAUACACAACCUGAUCCUUGACAUGGCUGUAAGGUGAUACGUCAAGUCUGGCCCCGUCUUGCCCUGACAAGACCAGACUUCCUCACUGUGUAUCGAGGGAAAGCUGUUACACUUAACAUGAUGCUUGGUAAGGGGGGGGUGGAGGGGGGGUGGUAAAAAAAUAUAUUGGCAGCCUAAGACAAGUCCUGAGAAACAUGUGCCAAUGGUAAACUUACACCACUGUCCUAGAAACUACGGCUGGCUGAAAAACAGCCAGCAAAAUUGGUGAGAAUGAAGCUUAAUGAAUAUUAAGGAGUUGUAUCCACCACUAGUCCUGCUUGAAGUUGACCAUUCAAAUUGAUGGGCCUGAUUUAGUCCCAUUAAUUUCAGUAGAACUUGGGCAGAUACAAACCUAUGUUCAAGAGUUAUUAGUAGGGGGACUCUGAACACUUGAAUGUGUAAAAGGUCAAUUUUUCCUCCAUUCAUGUGGGAGGCCAGCUUCGAAACAGUAAAAAAACUGCAGUGUAGGGUAUGUACAGUGCAUGGUCAACAUGCCUGCUUAAGUUGAUUAUCCACCUAGAAAAGAAGACGAAACAGCUGGCCCUCUCCUGAAGUUACUCUGAUUCGAUCUGAAAUAAGAACACCUUGCUACCUGUUUACAAAAAAAAUAAUGUUGCACUGAACUUUUGUUUGUACAUUGAUUGAUGAUCUUUUUGGUUUGGACAAGGGAGGACUGGCAAGCUAGGAUCAUUAUUCUGUGCUUUAUGCACCUACCUUUCUGGCCUUUCAGCAGGAGCUAUUUAAUUAGCAUUUCUGGAUGUUGACCUAGCUCUUGGGGAGGCAAUCAGCCAUGCCACCCUUUCGCCCUUCACGUGCUGCUAAUACUACCUCAAGCACUCCAAGGAAAAUGAUUAUACUCACUACCUGCUUGCUUCCUUAGUAAAUGACCCCAGGACCUUUUUAAUAUUACUCUCUUCCUACCCCAUUGCCAGUUAACCACAGAUUACGCAAGCAGGACCUUGAAGGGGGGCGCUGUGUACUAGGCUAAAAAAAAAGAACCAUGAAGACAAACUCUUCUCUCCCCGCCCCCGCCCCCCAUUUCCUCCUCUGUUCACUUUUUCUCUUCCAUUGGCCAUUUUAUAGGUCUCUUGUAGCUGAUGCGGCACGAUGACUUCAUCAGGCUUGCUCCUUUUAACCCAUGUCUUACCUGCUGUAAGCGGAGAUCAUGUGAUUGUGUUCUCUUGGCUGUAGAUGUUUUCCAUUUCUCUGCAUGAAGUCCAAUCUGGGCCUUGAUAUAAUAGAAACAGACGAAAACCUUUUAGCAAAGUGCAAGAAGUUCAGCGUGUGUGUGAUUUUAAUUGCACAGUAUGUUAGCCUUCAUUUUGUUAUUGUUUUGAUGAGGUGUGGUGCGUAAAGUGCUAGCACAGGAUUAUAUCAUUAACCCAGCUGCAGUUGGAUAAAGAUAAGCCUUGUGGCCAGAAGAGCUGUGGGAAGGUAUGGCUUACGACUUAUUCCUGUGAAAUGCUGACCUGAUCUUCCUGCUAGCUUAACACAGUGUUCAGCCUUUGAAGGACACGAGGAUCUUUUUAUCUUUAAACUUUGCAUUCAGACUGAGCCGGUCGGUCUUCUUGAAUCAGAGAAGUUAAGUCACACAUGUUUUCUGUAGCUCAGAACUGUCCAGUGCGAAAGGGAAGUGAUGUGUGGCUUGCACUUACAUCUGACAUCCAGUUGUAGCUGGUCAACUUGAUGGUAGCACAUUGACAACUUUCAAUGUUAAAAAGUCAUGUUUUCUAAACUUGUAGCCUCCACAUGGCUGGCACCAACCCCGUACAGUGCUUUUAGAUGUGCUAUAUUAAGCCAGUAUUGCAUCACGUAUUAAUAGCUGCCUCCCAGUUUAGAGCAGGUAGCAUUCAUGUAUGUAUAAACUAACACUUUUAAGUCCCAGACAGUCGACAGAUCAGCAUUUUUAUUCUCCCCCCGAUACAGGCUUCCCUGUAUUAGAAUUCCAUCAUGAUCAGACUUUGCCAGAGAGGUUUUGCCACUGAUAAGAAUAGGCUGUGCUAUAGGAAAGUAUCCUCUUCACUCUGGAAAAAGAAGCCAAUGGUUCUAAAGCAGAACUCAACACAGUUUGUUGCCUCAGAAAAUCCUUGCCGUUCUGCAACAAGCUGGUAGCAAUAGCAAGACAGCAAUGAAGAAUUAGCGGCAUCUGAGCUCAGAGUAUAGGUGCAUUUCCCUCAUACCAGGCGAACAUCCUAAACUGGGAGCUCUUUGUCUCUUUCCGUAAGGCUUGACUCUCAGCCAGCCUGGCAGCUGUUGUCAUCCUAUCACUCUUACUUUUUAAAACUUGGCUUGAUUCACCUUCAAUGCUGACUUUGUUUUGGUUUUCCGCUUACAUUUAGUAUUACCUGCCACAGUUUUCUAUAUAAAAGAGAUACAAAACUGUCUUUGCACAACUUCUGAUACUGAACAAACCGAGCUCUCAAGUUGCACCACAUCUCCUGGCAAACAGAAGUCUCUGUAAUUCAAAAGCUUGCAUACAUACACCAAAAGAGGCUGUUUAGUAGAAGAGAGAUCCUCUAAUCCAGAGAUGAGAAACAUUUGGCCUUGCAGAUGUUGCUGCUCACACCAUCCCUGACCAUUGGCUGUGCUGGCUGAGACUGAUGGGAGUUGGGAGUCCAAUAGCUUCUGGAUGGCCAAAAGUUCUCUAUCCCUGUUCUAAUCAAGUUUAUACUUGCUCUCUCUCUAGCACUCCUUCCUCUGCAGCAGCGACCAGUUUUCUGUUGACAACCUAAAUUUAUGUCAGCUGUGUGCCAUGCGACUUCUUCAGGAAGAACUGGAGAGUUCUCUUAUUAUUGCACUGUCUCAAUUCAUUCAAAACUUGUUUUUGUUUCAAAAAUCAGAUUUCAUUUCUCAAUAGAUUUUUCUAGGAAAGUUCUUAUGUGUGCUCACUCAAGUCUGGACUGUUCCAAGUUUUCAGGUAGUAGCUUCUGCUAUGGGAGCUUUUUAUUAUUAUGCAGAGUGCUACAUUAUCAUGGCUGCCUUUGCUCUGUCCCUCACUGAGGUAUGGGUGGGGGGGAAGCAACCUCAAGAAACUGCCAACACUUUUCCGGCAUUAGGAGGGGAAGGGGCAAAGGAAAGAGCCCUUGCAGUUUCCCUCUCCUGAAAUUGUUUAUUUGAAAUAAAUUGUGAAUUUCUAAUUUUAAA